GCGGAGGAAAAGAAACCAACAGGGAUUGCCCCAGUAACGGCGAGUGAAGCGGCAACAGCUCAAAUUUGAAAUCUGGUCCCCUUGCGGGGCCCGAGUUGUAAUUUGAAGAGGAUGCUUCUGGCAAGGUGCCUUCCGAGUUCCCUGGAACGGGACGCCGCAGAGGGUGAGAGCCCCGUACGGUAGGACGCCGAGCCUCUGUGAAGCUCCUUCGACGAGUCGAGUAGUUUGGGAAUGCUGCUCAAAAUGGGAGGUAAACCCCUUCUAAAGCUAAAUACUGGCCAGAGACCGAUAGCGCACAAGUAGAGUGAUCGAAAGAUGAAAAGCACUUUGAAAAGAGAGUUAAAAAGCACGUGAAAUUGUUGAAAGGGAAGCGCUUGCGACCAGACUCGCGCCCGUCGGAUCAGCCGUCGCUUGCGGCGGUGCACUCCGGCGGGCUCGGGCCAGCAUCAGUUCGCCUCGGGGGGAGAAAGGCGGCAGGAAUGUGGCUCUUCGGAGUGUUAUAGCCUGCCGUAUAAUACCCCCGGGCGGACUGAGGACCGC
rnacentral:sRNA from 1 species